rnacentral:lncRNA from 1 species
UGUUACCUUCUCAACAUGGCGAGCUUGCUGGACGUCACGUCGCCUUCGCCUUUUCCGCUGCGGACUCUGCUCACCGACCUCCUCAGUAGAGCCGGCCCUGCUCACUACCGCGCCCACGUGUCCUGUUGUGCUUCAUUCCCACAGGCCGCAUAAGAAGUGGGUGCCGAGGCUCCCUUCCCACUGCCAUUCCACUGGCCCAGAGGAAGCUUCUGUUGUGUUCAGAUGGGCAGGCACUCUUCCUCGAGAAGUUAAGUAGCCGGAAUAUCUAAAUGCCUCUCCUUGGCGAUUACUCGAUGAGCGCCUGUCCUUCCUCCACUCUUCCAGCAGACCUGCCUUUUGGGGCUGAUGGAAAUAUGCAUAUUAGAUUAUCUGCAGAAACUGGCUCAGCACUACAAGGAGCUUGGCCCAGAGAGCUACCUUAGACCCUCCAAUGAAUCUAUUCAAACAGCUGCCUCUGUUACCUUGACUCGUCUCAGAUUUUGUCGACCCGAGACGGGUCCUGGCACUAGGAAUGUAAAACUGUCUAUUAUUUCAGCUUGCUCCAGGCUGCCAACAUGAAGACACUGGAUGCGGAAUCAGGAGGAGAUGUAUACAGCUCAGUCUCCAAAGCCAGGACAAGCCAGCUCCAACACACUACUGGCUGAAUCUCACCAAUCGUUAUAGUUUUGUUUUUUGUUUUUUUAAAUGUAUUUAAGCAUUUUUAGGUGUUUUAAAUUUUAUGUGUGUAUUCUAGGAAUAUGUACUCAGAUUCUUUCAUUAGGCAUGUGUUAUUAACAACAUUCAUCUUCUUAAAGGCUGAACCAACUUUGCGCGUUUUAUCAACAGAUAUUCACUGAGCACCUAAUAUUGCCAGGCUGUGCUCAAGGCAGUGGGAUUCAUCAGUGAACAAUACAGACAAAAAUCACUGACCUAAAUGGAGCUUGAAGUUUAUAUCUAAAUCAUUCAAAGAUUCUGUGGUGGAAAAGAAGUUAGAAAUCUUUCAGCUGCAAAACAUAAGCCAAAAUACAACUCACCUUUGGAAUCAGAGAACUUACAGGUUCAUAAAAUUGCGAAGCCCAGAUGUGCACCUGAGGUGAGACUUCGUCCAGCUUCUGUCUGUGUCACUAAUCUUUCCUGCUUUCAGCGGCAUCCCUCGCAGGCCCGUGUUGUUCCCAACUGGUGUUCCCACCUGGCGGCAAACUGGUGACUGUAGUUACAGAUCUUCAACAUCACACUCAGGAGAAGAAGGAGAUUGCUUUUCAGGAGCUCCUGCAAGCCGGAGAAUAAAAGCUCUUAUUUAUUCAGAAGCCCUAAAACAUACCACCUUGGCUAUAGACUAUUUGGACAUUUCUAAGCAAAUCUGUCUGCAAAGGUGCUGAGCUGUGUUGAUCAACUGAAGCCCGUGACGUCUCAUCCUUGCAGUUGGAGCAAAUCUCAAAGGCAAAGCCAGUGUUAAGGAGAGGGAAAUCAGACUUCAUCUUUCGAUGGGAGAAGAAAAGAGUUUGCAACUGUCUCUAUUCUGCCACUGGCAGAGAAUCCAUAGGUUUGCUAAGGAUACAGAGCCACAUUGAAAAGAUAAACCUUGCUAUGCUGGAGAUUACUUAGGUGGGCCAGGAUUUCUUGAAACCAAAACUUUACUGAAUCACCUCUUCACCAUCUGUAUGCCGUGCAUUUGCUGAGCAAUUCUACAUCUGGACUUUAUCCUACAAAUGUUCCUGCGUGUGUAUGAAAGAGGGAAAGAUUGAAAACAACCCAAGUGUCCGUCCACGGGGACUCUGGUUAAAUGAAGUGUGGAAUCCCUGCAGUGAACACCAGCCUUCCAUAAUGGACAGAGGCAGCCCUUCUCUACGCAUCAGAAAUAACCCAAGAUAGAGGAAGCUCUCUCGGUACCCAUCAGAAAUAUCCCCAGACAGAGAGAGCCCUCUGCGUGUCAAUCAGAAGUGUGCCCAGACAGAAGUUUUCAUCUUUCAUCGAACAAAUCUAUUUAUGGUGGCUUCUUUUACCAGUUCUUCUGCCUGAUCCCCACUGCCACUACUUGGUUAUUUUCUGCUAUAUCUGCCUAUAUAGUAAUCUUCAGAAAUAUUGCCUUAUGGUAAUUCUUGGACUCCAUAGAAGCGUGAUCAAAAACAAAGAGACUGAAUGCUCAAACAAACUACAACGAUCAUAGAACGGGAGUUUUGGACAUAACAACUUGUGACAGUUUGUUUUCUUCUAGCAUUUUCUUACAAACACCAAGCCCCUUCAGCGUGUUACUGUGGAGGAAGCAUGCUGGCACAGUGAACUCAACACCCUCUCCCAGCAAAUCCUGGGUCCUUCAGGGACUCCAAUGGCCCCUGGGAACCCAUUCACACUGCUUGAGUUUUCUCCAGAAUCCAGUCCACGUACUCGACCACGUUGGUGUAAACACCUGGCCGCUCCCUUUGAGCACAGCCUUCGCCCCAGCUCGUGAUGCCUACCAGAUGCCAGACCUCAUUGUGUUUGCAGGACAGAGGGCCUCCCGAAUCUCCCUAGAACGAGGGGAGACAAGAAAAGGUUCAGCACGAUAUCGCACAUGUGCCAGGAUGAGAGGGCGAGAGAGAGACAAGCCUCACCCUCACCGCUAACUCCUCAUCCAACUCACUUUGAUCCUGCACAAGUUGCUUAAUUGUUCUAACCUUCAAUCCUUCAUCCCUAAAUUAUCUUUAAUAAAUUAUCUUUAGACUAA